AUUGAACGCUGGCGGCAGGCUUAACACAUGCAAGUCGAGCGGAGAUGAGGUGCUUGCACCUUAUCUUAGCGGCGGACGGGUGAGUAAUGCUUAGGAAUCUGCCAUUUAGUGGGGGACAACAUUCCGACGGGAAUGCUAAUACCGCAUACGUCCUACGGGAGAAAGCAGGGGAUCUUCGGACCUUGCGCUAAAUGAUGAGUCUAAGUCGGAUUAGCUAGUUGGUGGGGUAAAGGCCUACCAAGGCGACGAUCUGUAGCGGUGCUGAGACGAUGAUCGGCGAAACGGGGACUGAGACACGGACCAGAUUCCUACGGGAGGGAGCAGUGGGGAAUCUUGGACAAUGGGCGGAAGCCUGGUCCAGCCAUGCCGCGUGUGUGAAGAAGGCCUUUUGGUUGUAAAGCACUUUAAGCGAGGAGGAAGCUACUAGUACUAACACUACUGGAUAGUGGACGUUACUCGCAGAAUAAGCACCGGCUAACUCUGUGCCAGCAGCCGCGGUAAGAC
rnacentral:rRNA from 1 species